UGAGGAAUAUUGGUCAAUGGGCGAGAGCCUGAACCAGCCAAGUCGCGUGAGGGAAGACGGUCCUACGGAUUGUAAACCUCUUUGUCGGGGAGCAAUAAAGCGUACGCGUACGCAGAUGCGAGUACCCGAAGAAAAAGCAUCGGCUAACUCCGUGCCAGCAGCCGCGGUAAUACGGAGGAUGCGAGCGUUAUCCGGAUUUAUUGGGUUUAAAGGGUGCGCAGGCGGAAAGUGCAAGUCAGCGGUCAAACGACGGGGCUCAACCCCGUCUCGCCGUUGAAACUGUCUUUCUAGAGUGAGCGAGGAGUAUGCGGAAUGCGUGGUGUAGCGGUGAAAUGCAUAGAUAUCACGCAGAACUCCGAUUGCGAAGGCAGCAUACCGGCGCUCAACUGACGCUCAUGCACGAAAGCGUGGGUAUCGAACAGGAUUAGAUACC
rnacentral:rRNA from 1 species